rnacentral:rRNA from 1 species
GACGAACGCUGGCGGCGUGCCUAAUACAUGCAAGUCGAACGCACUCUCGUUUAGAUUGAAGGAGUUUGCUCCUGAUUGAUAAACAUUUGAGUGAGUGGCGGACGGGUGAGUAACACGUGGGUAACCUGCCCUAAAGUGGGGGAUAACAUUUGGAGACAGAUGCUAAUACCGCAUAAAACCUAACACCGCAUGGUGUAGGGUUGAAAGAUGGUUUCGGCUAUCACUUUAGGAUGGACCCGCGGUGCAUUAGUUAGUUGGUGAGGUAAAGGCUCACCAAGACCGUGAUGCAUAGCCGACCUGAGAGGGUAAUCGGCCACACUGGGACUGAGACACGGCCCAGACUCCUACGGGAGGCAGCAGUAGGGAAUCUUCCACAAUGGACGAAAGUCUGAUGGAGCAACGCCGCGUGAGCGAAGAAGGUUUUCGGAUCGUAAAACUCUGUUGUUGGAGAAGAAUGUAUCUGAUAGUAACUGAUCAGGUAGUGACGGUAUCCAACCAGAAAGCCACGGCUAACUACGUG